rnacentral:snRNA from 1 species
AUCGCUCUCAGCCUUUUGGCUAAGAUCAAGUGUAGUAUCUGUUCUUAUCAGUGUAAUAUCUGAUUAUGUCCUCUAUUUGAGGAUAAUAUAUUAAAUAGAUUUCUGGAACUAGGAGAUGGAAUAGGAACUUGCUCCAUCCACUCCACGCAUUGACCUGGCAUUGCAGUACCUCCAGGAACAGCACACCAAAA